CAGCAGCCACGGUAAUACAGAGGGUGCAAGCGUUAAUCGGAAUUACUGGGCGUAAAGCGCGCGUAGGUGGUUUGUUAAGUUGGAUGUGAAAUCCCCGGGCUCAACCUGGGAACUGCAUCCAAAACUGGCAAGCUAGAGUAUGGUAGAGGGUGGUGGAAUUUCCUGUGUAGCGGUGAAAUGCGUAGAUAUAGGAAGGAACACCAGUGGCGAAGGCGACCACCUGGACUGAUACUGACACUGAGGUGCGAAAGCGUGGGGAGCAAACAGGAUUAGAGACCCCGGUAGUCCCUGUCUCUUAUAA
rnacentral:rRNA from 1 species